AUUGAACGCUGGCGGCAGGCCUAACACAUGCAAGUCGAACGGGUGGCGGACGGGUGGGCAAGGGAUGGGCAAGUGCGUGAUGGAGGGGGAUAACUACGGGAAACGGUAGCUACAACCGCAUACCAUCAGAUGUGCCGAGGUGGGUUUAGCUAGUCGGUGGGGUAACGGCUCACCAAGGCGACGAUCCCUAGCUGGUCUGAGAGGAUGACCAGCCACACUGGAACUGAGACACGGUCCAGACUCCUACGGGAGGCAGCAGUGGGGAAUAUUGCACAAUGGGCGCAAGCCUGAUCCAGCCAUGCCGCGUGUGUGAAGAAGGCCUUCGGGUUGUAAAGUACUUUCAGCAGGGAGGCGUUACCCACAGAAGAAGCACCGGCUAACUCCGUGCCAGCAGCCGCGGUAAUUC
rnacentral:rRNA from 1 species